GACGAACGCUGGCGGCGUGCUUAACACAUGCAAGUCGAACGGUAAGGCCCUCCGGGGUACACGAGUGGCGAACGGGUGAGUAACACGUGGGUGAUCUGCCCUGCACUUCGGGAUAAGCCUGGGAAACUGGGUCUAAUACCGGAUAGGACCACUGCCUGCAUGGGUGGUGGUGGAAAGCUUUUGCGGUGUGGGAUGGGCCCGCGGCCUAUCAGCUUGUUGGUGGGGUGAUGGCCUACCAAGGCGACGACGGGUAGCCGGCCUGAGAGGGUGACCGGCCACACUGGGACUGAGAUACGGCCCAGACUCCUACGGGGGGCAGCAGUGGGGAAUAUUGCACAAUGGGCGCAAGCCUGACGCAGCGACGCCGCGUGAGGGAUGACGGCCUUCGGGUUGUAAACCUCUUUCAGCACCGACGAAGCGCAAGUGACGGUAGGUGCAGAAGAAGGACCGGCCAACUACGUGCCAGCCGCCGCCGUAA
rnacentral:rRNA from 1 species